rnacentral:misc_RNA from 1 species
GAUGAAGAACGUAGCGAAAUGCGAUAAGUAAUGUGAAUUGCAGAAUUCAGUGAAUCAUCGAAUCUUUGAACGCACAUUGCGCCCGCCAGUAUUCUGGCGGGCAUGCCUGUUCGAGCGUCAUUACAACCCUCAGGCCCCCGGGCCUGGCGUUGGGGAUCGGCGGAAGCCCCCUGCAGGCACAACGCCGUCCCCCAAAUACAGUGGCGGUCCCGCCGCAGCUUCCAUUGCGUAGUAGCUAACACCUCGCAACUGGAGAGCGGCGCGGCCACGCCGUAAAACACCCAACUUCUGAAUGUUGACCUCGAAUCAGGUAGGAAUACCCGCUGAACUUAAGCAUAUCAAUAAGCGGAGGA